UGCGUAGGCGGCCGCUUAAGUAGGGUGUGAAAUGUCCCGGCUCAACCGGGGAAUGGCGCUCUAAACUGGGUGGCUCGAGUGAGAUAGAGGUGUGCGGAACUUCCGGUGGAGCGGUGAAAUGUGUUGAUAUCGGAGGGAACACCAUUGGCGAAAGCGGCACACUGGGUCUUAACUGACGCUGAGGCACGAAAGCCAGGGGAAGGCAAACG
rnacentral:rRNA from 1 species